rfam:Agrobacterium radiobacter K84 chromosome 2, complete sequence.
CGACCGGGACGGCCCGGUUGUUUCCCUGGGGCACCGCCGGGACGACCUGG